GACGAGGGGUCCUAGCGUUGUUCGGAAUCAUUGGGCGUAAAGCGCAUGUAGGCGGUCUAGCAAGUCGGGUGUGAAAGCCCUGGGCUUAACCCAGGAAGUGCACUCGAUACUGCUGGACUUGAAUAUGGGAGAGGAUAGUGGAAUUCCUGGUGUAGUGGUGAAAUACGUAGAUAUCAGGAGGAACACCGGUGGCGAAGGCGGCUAUCUGGCCUAAUAUUGACGCUGAGAUGCGAAAGCGUGGGGAUCAAACAGG
rnacentral:rRNA from 1 species